GGUCCCGCCUGCCCUGUGACAAGUUUAACGGCCGCGGUAUUUUGACCGUGCAAAGGUAGCGCAAUCACUUGUCUUUUAAAUGAAGACCUGUAUGAAUGGCAUAACGAGGGCUUAACUGUCUCCUUUUUCCAGUCAAUGAAAUUGAUCUCCCCGUGCAGAAGCGGGGAUAAGAACAUAAGACGAGAAGACCCUAUGGAGCUUUAGACUAAAAACAGACCUUGUAACAAAUAAACAAAUUGAACACUGUUUUAAUGUCUUCGGUUGGGGCGACCGAGGGGGAAAAAUCAGCCCCCAUGUGGAAAGAGAGAAUCUCUUACAACCUAGAUAAACACAUCCAAGUACCAGAACUUCUGACCAAACAUGAUCCGGUAUUACCGAUCAACGAACCAAGUUACCCUAGGGAUAACAGCGCAAUCCUUUUUUAGAGUCCAUAUCGACAAAAGGGUUUACGACCUCGAUGUUGGAUCAGGACAUCCUAAUGGUGCAGCCGCUAUUAAGGGUUCGUUUGUUCAGCGAUUAAAGUCCUA
rnacentral:rRNA from 1 species